CAUUGUCAGCACAUGCUUCAGUGCUCUGAGAGUGUUUAUAGUGCUGUGAGUUUAACACUUCAUGACUCACACUGUUUAUCAUUACAGACACAACGACUACAAUGACGUUCAUCAUCUUGAUUUUGAUCUUAGGGAUGUAUUUUCAAGAGUCUACAGGACAGGUGACUGUAAUCCAGACUCCAAAAGAGAAACAAGUUCAGAACGGACAAACAGUCACUCUGACCUGUAAAACCAGCAGCGCCAUUGGAGACCUGUCAAAUGGUUGGUGUAAGCAAUGCUUCUCCUGGUACUUACAGAAACCUGGAGAAACUCCUAAACUUUUAGUUCACAGCAUCAAAACCCUUUAUUCUGGAACUCCAUCAAGAUUCAGUGGAAAUGGAGCCGAUCAUGGAACUGAUUUCACUCUGACCAUCAGUGGAGUCCAGACUGAAGAUACAGGAGAUUAUUACUGUCAGAGUGUACACUGGAUCAACAGUAAAGCUGUGUUCACACAGUGAUAAAGAGU